AUGGAGCUACUCCACUCCAGUCUUGGCUCUCCGAUCCCCAGCCACUCCCCCGCUCUAUCUACAAAACCGAAUCCCCAAAUUCCAUUCCACAUUAGCACCACCGUCGCGUCAAAACGACGCCGCUUCGGCGUCCGAAAUGACGCGCGCCGGUUUUUCUUUUCGCCGGAAACCGACACUCGUGCUCCGGCGAAGGCGGUCGUCGGUUGGUGGAGCUUAGUCGAGCGCGUUGUAGAGGAGAAAGAGGAAAACACUGCGGCGAAGGCGAAGCCUGUAACGGUUCUGCGUGCUCUUCAUCGAAUGUGGAAUUUGAUCGAGGCUGAGAGAUGGAUUGUGUUCGUUGCUUUUGGUUCAAUGAUCAUCGCCGCGUUUUCGGAGAUCUCAAUACCGCGGAUAUUGACGGAGUCUGUGUUUUGUGCUCAAAGUGGAGAUGCUGUGGUGUUCUUCAGGAAACUCCAAGAUUUUAGCAUUGUUGUGUUUCACUUCAGGGAUAUGUAGCGGCCUGCGGAGUGGUUGUUUUGGGAUUGCAAACAUUAUAAUGGUUAAGCGCCUCAGGGAAACCCUAUACGCGGUUGUUCUUGUCCAGGUUUGAUAUAUUUUUGACAGAGAAUCAGUUGGUGAUUUGACAAGCAGACUUGGGGCAGAUUGUCAACGAUUAUCGCUUGUCAUUGCAAAUGAUAUUAAUUUGAUAUUACGUAAUGGGCUUCAGGGAACUGGUGCGCUGAUCAAUCUUCUCAUAUUAUCUUGGCCUCUUGCAUUAUCAGCACUAGUGAUAUGUGGUGUCUUAUCUGUGGUUUUUCUUCUUUAUAGCAAGUACCAAAAGAAAGCUGCAAAAUUAACCCAAGACUUCACUGCUGGGGCCAACGAAGUUGCACAGGAGACACUUUCUCUUAUGAGAACAGUCCGGGUUUUUGGAACAGAAAGAAAAGAAAUUGGAAGGUUCAAGGGAUGGCUAGACAAGGUAGCGUUUAUAAACAUUCGGGAAAGUAUGGCUCAUGGGUUCUGGAGUAUGAGUUUCAUUACUCUGUAUCGGUCAACACAGGUUAUUGCCGUGGUGUUAGGAGGCAUUUCUAUUAUGAGUAGUCGUGUAUCACCUGAGCAAUUAACUAAGUAUGUACUGUACUGUGAGUGGUUAAUUUACGCAACUUGGAGGGUAACAGACAAUUUAUCAUCAUUAGUCCAGUCUGUUGGAGCAAGCGAAAAAGUUCUCCAGUGGAUGGACUUGCUGCCCAGCGACCAGUUCAUAUCAAAAGGUGCAAAGAUGCAGAAGAUAAUGGGACACAUUCAGUUCGUAGACGUUUCUUUUCACUAUCCUUCUAGGGAAACUGUCCCCAUUCUAGAGGACAUAAAUGUUUCCAUACAAGCAAAUGAAGUGGUCGCAAUUGUUGGUCUGAGUGGUAGUGGAAAAAGCACAUUAAUCAAUCUGUUGCUUCGUCUUUACGAACCGACAAAUGGUCACAUUAAUAUCAAUGGGUUCCCUAUCCGAGAGUUGGAUAUCAGGUGGCUGAGAGAGAAAGUUGGAUAUGUGGCACAGGAACCAAAUUUAGUUCACAUGACCAUCAAGUCGAACAUUACAUAUGGUUGCUCCGAAGAUAUUAAGGAGGAAGAUAUAAAAUCGGCUGCAAAGCAAGCAUAUGCUCAUAAUUUCAUCUCAUCUCUUCCUGAUGGGUAUGAUACCGUAGUCGAUAAUAACUUACUCAGCGGUGGACAAAAGCAGCGGAUUGCGAUAGCUAGGGCCAUUCUUAGAGACCCAGCUAUAUUAAUCCUUGAUGAAGCUACCAGUGCCUUAGAUGCUGAAGCCGAAAACCACAUUAAGGGGGUUUUUCAGGCAAUGAGGAAUGAUGUUAAAGCAAGGAGAACCAUCAUUGUCAUUGCACACAGACUUUCAACCAUAGAAGCUGCUGACAGAAUCGUUGUAAUGGACAAAGGCCGAGUCACUGAGAUGGGUGAGCAUGCAGAGCUCCUCAAGAAGGAUGGGUUGUAUACAAAAUUGAUAAGAGCUCAAACAAAUGUUUUGGCUUGAUUGUCUUCUGCUAAAACCGAAUUUUGGCAUAUUGAAGAUUAUUUUUCACUAUCAUCUCCCAUUUGUGUACAUCUGAUAUCUGAUUGGUGUGAAACAAUAUUCAGCAUUGAAUGCAGUAAUGAACUCAUGAGAAUCUGGUAUUUUCAACUUC